ensembl:lncRNA
GCUUAAACUAUAAAAAACCCAACAAAGGCUCAUAGAGAGCCAGCAGCAAAUAUCCAAGCAGGAAGACAAUUCAGUGCGAGUCACACACAGACUGAGAAAGUGACAGCAGGCAGGACGCUCAGGCUUCCUGCCUCAGUGGAUGGAGGUCAAAGGUCAGAGGAGAAUCAAAACAUAUGCGAUUAGAUGACUAAUAGACAAGUAUGACACACGACAGUGCGAGAGAAGACUGGAGGUUAAUGAUUCCUGAUUGUCUUACAUUUUACACACUAAAGGGAGAGAAAAAAACACCCGUUUACUAAUUAAACAGUUUAUGAAACUUGUUUAUUCUUAUCUAAUAAACAUAAAUAUGGACUUACACGUGAAAGCCUUUAUUUUAACUGCUGCCAUUAGACAUGCCCCAGUUUAGAUGCAAUCACUCACAAGACACUUAAACAUGUGCCCAACCCUGGACAUUACAUUUCUUUCAUUACCAUUUAAUACUCGUACAGCUGCUUUUGUUCCAUAUUUCUUCAUAUUCUCUUAUAUAUUUUCUAUAUUGUGUAUUUUGUUGUACAGUUAUUUUAUUUUUAACUUUAAUUUUUAUAUUUUACUUUAUUCUUUCCUAGUUAAAUUUACCCUUUAUUUUCAUAUUUAUUUCCUAUCCUAUUCAUAGUCGUUUAUUUUAGGUCACGAGCAGUUGUUGUGGGGAUUCAGAGAUUCUUUUAUUGAUACCAUAUAAUCUGCCUUAUGAAGAAUGUAUUAAUAACAUGUUUCACAGUAUCAUUUAUCAGUAAUAUUUCCUGCAGGGUUUAUAUUGCAUUGAAUAUGUCUGUCAUCACAUUGACCUUUCUAUUUUUACAGGUUGAGUUCAUUUUAUACACAAUGCAUAAAUGUGCUUGGUUAGAGUUGAUGUUCCAUUCUAGAAGGUUUUAAGCUUCACUGGUGAGAGUGUCCAGAUGAUACAUGCUGAGGGGAGAUGAGAACAUAGCAGGUUAAUUGCAUGCACGCUUACGAUACACAUAUUAAUCUAGUAGCAGGUUUGAGCGAAGGCCUAAGCGUCUUCUACUUCAGUUUGAGACUGGCCGCUAAAGUACUCUACUUAGUGAUUAAUGACGAGGGUCCAUUAUUAGCUCUCAGAAAAGCUAAGACCUGAAGUUAUUACCUUAAAAGGCAAGUAAUGUAGAAAGGAGAAGUUAUAUGUCGGUGUAAGGUUAUAUGUACGUGAUGAACCCUUGUCUGUACGAGUUGAACUUUUGCCCGUCUGUCACCAUGUAUUUUUGAACUGUAUUGACGUAGGUGAUAUUUUGUCCUAUAAAACCAGAACCCAGUGUAUUCUUGUCAGAGCAAAACAAUCCGUAUGCUGACGGUUGGUUGUUCUCCUGUGAUAAUAAAACUCAUCGUUUG